UAAAAGCAAAUAUGGAUAGGAAUAGCAUUUUUUGAAUCACAUAUCCUCUUUAUUAAUUUCUAUUCCAUUUUACUUUUAGAGAUUUGGACAAUCAGCUUGGUUCUUUCCUGGUUUAACUUUACCGAUUGGUUGCGUUACUCCGUCCCCUCGUACCUUUCAGGAUCUGCUUUGCGACAAAUCGCUUUUAUGGAAGAUCGGCAACGUCUGUUUGAUGAGCUGCCACCAGCAUCUCCUCUUGUCCACUAGAUCCUGAUUCAACUUCAUUUGGUUGCAAUCUCAUUCGGGAAGAUAAUUCUGCUAUCAAUUAGGCCAGAAACGAAAUUCCUAGGGAGACUUCCAGGAAGUGAUAUCUUCUGUGACAUCAGUCAGUACCCUAUGGCCACUGAAACUCCUGGCAUCACCUUAAUCCGAGCCAACCCCGGCCAAAUAUGCUUCGCUAAUGCCAAUUUCAUUAGAGAAAGGAUAAUGAGGCUGGUCAAUGAGGAAGUAGAGGAAAAGGGAAGUGGAAGGGGAAAGAUUCAAGCAGUGAUCCAGUUAAGUUCCGUCCAGUGUGAUGAACAUAGACACUUCUGGGAUCGUUGCCCUCAAAGAACUGCAUAAGUCAUUGAUCUCAUCUGGUGUAAAAGUAGCCUUUGCCAACCUGAGGUGGUGAGUGAUGCACAAGCUAAAGUUGUCAAACUCUGUAGAUAGGGUCGGAAGAGAGAGAUUCUUCCUUGGUGUAGGGGAGGCAGUCGAUGUACAACUCUGCCUGAAACAUGCCGGUCCUGACAGUUGUUGAUGCGAUCAAUGGAUGUUGUUUUGAACUAUCCAUUACCAGCUCAAGGUUUAGCAGAGCUACUUCUAAAUUUAAAGUGUUUUAAGUAUGUCUUUUCUUUCAUGAGCAUGACAAUGGGACAUCAGCGCACUUGGUUUUCAAUUGAAAAACUGUUUGUUCUGUUCGAGCUUUCUGACA